CACGGGGGGAGCAAGCGUUGUUCGGAUUCAUUGGGCGUAAAGGGCUCGUAGGUGGCUUUGUAAGUCGGAGGUGAAAUCCCACGGCUCAACCGUGGACACGCCUUCGAAACUGUGAAGCUUGAGGCUGGGAGAGGAAAUCGGAAUUCCUGGUGUAGCGGUGAAAUGCGUAGAUAUCAGGAGGAACACCGGUGGCGAAGGCGGAUUUCUGGACCAGUUCUGACACUGAGACACGAAGGCCAGGGGAGCAAACGGG
rnacentral:rRNA from 1 species